rfam:Nematostella vectensis strain CH2 x CH6 NEMVEscaffold_559_Cont30047, whole genome shotgun sequence.
GCCUCGUUAGCGCAGUAGGCAGCGCGUCAGUCUCAUAAUCGAAUUUAGAAAUCUGAAGGUCGUGAGUUCGAUCCUCACACGGGGCA